rnacentral:rRNA from 1 species
AUUGAACGCUGGCGGCAGGCCUAACACAUGCAAGUCGAGCGGAUGAAGGGAGCUUGCUCCUGGAUUCAGCGGCGGACGGGUGAGUAAUGCCUAGGAAUCUGCCUGGUAGUGGGGGAUAACGUCCGGAAACGGGCGCUAAUACCGCAUACGUCCUGAGGGAGAAAGUGGGGGAUCUUCGGACCUCACGCUCUCAGAUGAGCCUAGGUCGGAUUAGCUAGUUGGUGGGGUAAAGGCCUACCAAGGCGACGAUCCGUAACUAGUCUGAGAGGAUGAUCAGUCACACUGGAACUGAGACACGGUCCAGACUCCUACGGGAGGCAGCAGUGGGGAAUAUUGGACAAUGGGCGAAAGCCUGAUCCAGCCAUGCCGCGUGUGUGAAGAAGGUCUUCGGAUUGUAAAGCACUUUAAGUUGGGAGGAAGGGCAGUAAGUUAAUACCUUGCUGUUUUGACGGUACCAACAGAAUAAGCACCGGCUAACUUCGUG